UAGGGAAUAUUGCUUAAUGGGCGAAAGCCUGAAGCAGCAACGCCGCGUGUGCGAUGAAGGCCUUCGGGUUGUAAAGCACUUUUUGAGGGGAUGAGGAAGGACAGUACCCUCAGAAUAAGCCUCGGCUAACUACGUGCCAGCAGCCGCGGUAACACGUAGGAGGCGAGCGUUAUCCGGAUUUACUGGGUGUAAAGCGCGUGCAGGCGGUUCAGAAAGUUGGAUGUGAAAGCUCCUGGCUUAACUGGGAGAGGUCGUUCAAUACUUCUGGACUCGAGAGUGGGAGAGGGAGGUGGAAUUCCGGGUGUAGUGGUGAAAUGCGUAGAUAUCCGGAGGAACACCAGUGGCGAAAGCGGCCUCCUGGCCCAUUUCUGACGCUCAGACGCGAAAGCUAGGGUAGCAAACG
rnacentral:rRNA from 1 species